UAAGAUGGCUGAUAUUGCGUAGUUAGA
rnacentral:sRNA from 1 species